AGUUAUAAAGUCAUUCCUUGAAACUUGGUUAUCUUAGAGAACUAAAUGUCAAGAGGACUGAUGUUACCUCUUUGUCACUCACCAGAAGGAAUACCAACCACAAUCCAUUUUGAUGCCUGGCUGCUGGAUCAUCAUGUAUAACUCAGGAGAAAAAUUCUGGCCUUUGGGGGAAAUGCAUCUAUAGAAAACUUUGUGAAAGUCCCAAAUAAUCCAAAUCAUCCCAAGAGAAAUGAGAGAUGAAACUUGAAGAGAACAACAGAUGUAAAGUGAAACAUAUCCUUCAAUAUUUCCAAAACAGUUAAUUUUCCAUUAUUGAUGACAAUAAAAAUACAAGAUUUUGAUUUUAACACCUCAGUAUGCAGUGUGCCAUAUGAUAAAUAGGAAGCGACAAGACAAAUUAGGAAGACAGGAAGAGCAGAUUUAAACAGAAGCAAUUCAUUCCAGAGUCCCUCCCUUUAAAAAGUGUAAUGGGACUUUGAUGUGUGCCUAGAACACUUAAAUGGAAUCAUCCAUGAGAGUGUCUUUAAAACGACUUUUGGGGGAGUAGAGAACUGGAACAUGCAUCUACGUUUUUGUCUUAGUCUACUAGCUGAAUAGUUGAAAUUAUCAGUCUUUUAAAAAAAAUGACCUGAUCUCUGAAAUGCCCAGGAUUUUUGCUAGAUUCACUCAUACAAAGUUAUUAGAGAAGUGGGGCCUGAGGGCUACUUCCUUCGUCUUUGGCCUCUGUUCAUUCUUUUCCAACGUGCAGUCUUCAGUCUAGUUUUGAGCACCAGUUAUUGGGAUCUAGGAGUCCAGUUGUCCCAGAGGAUAUUAUGGCCAAUUCAAUAGUAUUGCUAACUGUGGACUUAAACUAGAUCACACUAAUGAUAUAUAGGAAAUGAGCUAAAUUUUGAGUCUGAUCUUUGCUGCCCCUCUCCCAAACAGUUGGUAUGGGGGAAUUAUGCUCUUCCUACCAAUGCAUUAAGGGAAAUGUUUGUAUGUUUGUUCCUGUUUUAUCUUUGAAGCAUAUAUGCCUUUGUAAAAGCUAUGUUAAAUGGGUCAGGGGAAUUGAGGUACUAGUGCCUGAACUUCUAAAAUUUAGGAAACAACAUUAUGGGGAAAAGGAUUGGAAUUGGUGGCAGAAAAAUUAAUUCUUCAAUUCUCUUUGAGUUCUAGGCAAUGCAGGAUGGGUGUGGGAAAGUGCUAUAAAAUGUAACAGGUCUAGCCCUCAGAAAGUAUGGCCCUCAACAUAUAUGUAAAAAAAAAAAAUCUUAAGGGAUCAGUUUUUUUUUUUUGAGAUAUUUGAGAGUUGGAAAGACUCAAAAGAAUUUUUUCAUUUAAUUUAAUUUUCCCCCAAAUACAUGCAAAAACAGUUUCCAACAUUUUUCAAGGACUAUUGAGUCUCAAAUUCCAUCCUUCCCUCCCUUCCCUGAAACCCCUUCACCUCCUUUGAGAUGGUAAGCACUUUUAUAUAGACUUUACUUGUACAAUUAUGUAAAAAUAUUUUUCCAUAUUAAACCUUUUGUGGGAGGAAACUCAACUAAAAAGAACAAUUAAGAAAAUGAAAAAAGUUUUCUUUGGUCUAGAUUCAGACUCAGUUCUUUUUCUUUGGAAGCAGAUGGUAUUUUUUUUUUAAAUCAUCGGUCCUUUGGAAUAAUUUUGGAUCAUUUUAUUGCUGAGAAUAGUCAUUAUUCACAGUUGUUCACUGUAUAGUAUUCCUCUCACUGUACAUUGUUCUCCUGGUUCUGCUUAUUCCAAUCUGCUUCAGUUUGUGUAAGUCUUUCCAGGUUUCUUUAAGCUUCUCUUGCUUGCUUACAACACAAUAGUAUUCAUUUACAAUCAUAUACUAUAACUUAACUAUUCUCCAGUUGUUGGAUAUCUUCUCACUUUCCAAUUUUUUUUGCCCCUCUAAAGAGAGCUGUUUUAAAUAUUUUUGUAGAUGUAGGUCCUUCCUGUUGUUUUUUUUUUUAAUCUCUGUGAGACAAACUUAGAAAAGGUAUUACUGGGUCAAAGAGUAUGCACUAUUUUAUAGCCUUUUGGGCAUAGGUCCAAAUUGCUCUCCAGGGUGGUUGGAUCAGUCUAUAACUACCCUAAAAGUGCAUUAGUAUCUUAAUUUUCCUACAUCUCCUCCAAGUUUAGUCAUUUUUCUUUUUUUCUAUCAUAAUAAUCAAUCUGAUAGGUGUGGGGUGGUUCCUCAGAGUUGUUUUAAUUUGCAUUUUUCUAAUUAAUAGUGAUUUAGAUCAUGUUUUGCAUCAUUAUAGAGAGUUUUAAUUACUCUGAGAACUGCCUGUUCAUGUCUUUUGACCAUUUAUCAACUGGGGAAUGACUUGUAUUCUUAAACAUUCAAUUCAUUUCUCUAUGUAUUUAAGAACUAAGGACUUUAUUAGAGACUUGUAAAAAAGGUUUUUUGCACCAUUAUGAUUACUGUGUAUUAGUUUCCAUUCUAUUUCCUUCCUGUUUCUGACAUCCACCACCCCCAAUUUGCCCUCUUCUCUAUCAACCCUACCCCCUUCUCUGAUCCCCUUCCUACCUUACUUUCCUGUAGGAUAAAUUAAUUUUCUAUACUUAAUUGACGGAGUAUGUUCUUCCCUUUUUGAGCCAAUUCUGAUGAAAGUAGGAUUCAUACAAUCUCCUCCCCACUUCUCCCAUCUUUCCAUCCAUUGUGAAUGCUCUUUCAUAUCUCUUUUAUUUAUGUGCAAUAAUUUGCCCUAUUCUACUUCCCCCUUCCCCCUCCCCAAUGUGUUCCUCUGACUCCCACCUUAAUUUAAUUUAAUUUGAUUUUUUAUAUCAUCCCAUCAUAUUUAACUCACACCCUCCACCUCUGUCUAUAUAUACUCCUUUUAACUGUCCUAAUAAUUUCAUUGGCACUACAAGAAUUAUCUCCUCUUGUAGUGAUAUAAACAGUUUAACUUUACUGAAUAUCUUUUGGUUUCUAUUUUCCAGUUUGCUUUCUUAUGAUUCUCUAGAGUCUUAUAUUUGUGGAUUAAAAUUUCCAUUCAGCUCUGGCCUUUUAAUCAAGAAUGUUUAAAAGUCCUCUAUUUCAUUGAAUUCCUAUUUUUUUCCCCUGAAGGAUUAUGCUCAUUUUUGCUGGGUAAGUGAUUCUUGAUUGAAGUCCUAGCUCCUUUGACCUCUGGAAUAUCAUAUUCUAGCCCCUCUGAUCCUUUAAUGUAUAACAUAUAAUUAUAUGACACAUAUAUAAUUACAUAUUGUAUAUGUUUAAAUCCUUACUUUCUAUCUUGGAAUCAUUACUGAGUAUUGGUUCCAAGACAAGAGCAGUAAAAUUAGGAAUUUGGAAUUAAGUGACUUGCCCAGGGUCAUGUAGCUAGGAAAUGUUUGAGGCCCUAUUUGAACCUAGGAUCUCCCAUCUCCAACUCUGGCUCUUUAACCACUGAGAUUCCUUGUUGCCCCCUAUAUAUGUUUAAAACAAUAAUCAAGUGAAAUCAAUAACAAUUUAUCAUUUGUUCACUUUAUCUUCUCCAUAACAACCUUUAGAAUGAUCUACACACAUAGCAAGGUAAUCUUUGAUAAAAAUAUGAAAAUAUGUCAAGGGAACAGUCAGUUUUUCCUGAAUGAUUUUUCUAAAGCUGACUGCAUGUUUACUUUCAUACAGCUGAAAGAUACAGAGAAUAAAAAUCCUGCUAUGUUUAUUGCUGUUUGAUUGUAAAAAUAAAUUUGACUAGGUGGUACAAAAUGAAACCCUACAAGCUUACUUCUUAUAUAAUGUCU